rnacentral:rRNA from 1 species
CACGUAGUUAGCCGGGGCUUCUUGGUCAGGUACUGUCAUUUUCUUCCCUGCUGAUAGAGCUUUACAUACCGAAAUACUUCUUCACUCACGCGGCGUCGCUGCAUCAGGGUUUCCCCCAUUGUGCAAUAUCCCCCAUGCUGCCUCCCGUAGGAGUUUGGGCCGUGUCUCAGUCCCAAUGUGGCCGUCCGCCCUCUCAGGCCGGCUACUGAUCGUCGCUUUGGUAGGCCGUUACCCUGCCAACUGGCUAAUCAGACGCGGGUCCAUCAUAUACCACCGGAGUUUUUCACACCGGGGCAUGCGCCCCUGUGCGCUUAUGCGGUAUUAGCACCUAUUUCUAAGUGUUACUCCCCCUGUAUAUGGCAGGUUACCCACGCGUUACUCACCCGUCCGCCACGUAGGGCGUAGAAAAGUUUGAAGUUCUAAGGUAAAACUAGUCCCUCUCG